GAUGAACGCUGGCGGCGUGCCUAAUACAUGCAAGUCGAGCGAACAGACGAGAAGCUUGCUUCUCUGAUGUUAGCGGCGGACGGGUGAGUAACACGUGGAUAACCUACCUAUAAGACUGGGAUAACUUCGGGAAACCGGAGCUAAUACCGGAUAAUCUUUUGAACCGCAUGGUUCAAUAGUGAAAGACGGUCUUGCUGUCACUUAUAGAUGGAUCCCCGCUGCAUUAGCUAGUUGGUAAGGUAACGGCUUACCAAGGCAACGAUGCAUAGCCGACGGGAGAGGGGGAUCGGCCGCACUGGAGCUGAGACACGGUCCAGACUCCUACGGGAGGCAGCAGUAGGGAAUGUUCCGCAGUGGGCGAAAGCCUGACGGAGCAACGCCGCGUGAGUUAUGAAGGUCUUCGGAUCGUAAAACUCUGUUAUUAGGGGAAAACAUAUGUGUAAGUAACUGUGGACAUCUUGACGGUACCUAAUCAGAAAGCCACGGCUAACUACGUG
rnacentral:rRNA from 1 species